rnacentral:rRNA from 1 species
GCUUAUGGCCACACCGCCUGGUUCACGGCUGAUCUCGUUUGAUCUCGGAAGCUAAGAUAGGUUAGGCCUGGUUGGUACUUGGAUGGGAGACCGCCUGGGAAUACCAGGUGCUGUAAGGC